GUCUACAUUACUUUGUAGGUGAACUAAGAUCAUCAAAGCCCUCAAAAGUGUCCAAGAUGAAUUUCUCCUCAAGUGUGUUCAGAUAAAUGAUUCUAUUGCUGCUAAUCAUUAGCAGGCAGAUGGAGUUGGAAACAGAAACAUAAAGAAAGCAUACUGAAGUAUUGGAGUAGCCUGGCUUGGUGAAUGAAGUAUAAAGGAAAUAAAAGCUUCUCAUGCCUGGAUCCUGGAUUGAGAGGGAAGCUUAAUUAGAUGUACUGGAAGUAUUUCAUGUGAAAUCCUGGGUCUUAAGAUGGAAGGUAUUCUGGUUGCAAUAGCCCCAGAAGCCAGAAGGGAGGACCGUGCGCAUGGACACCAGCAUCCCCUAAGGGAACUGUGGUUGGUGCCCUGUGAGCACCCAGCUCAGAAGUGCUGCCCAGGGCAGGGCCAGGACCCUCCCAGAGGGCCUGCCUCCAGCUCAGCUCCUUCUGCCCCAUCCCAGCUUAAAGGCAGAAACAU